rnacentral:rRNA from 1 species
AUUGAACGCUGGCGGCAUGCUUUACACAUGCAAGUCGAACGGCAGCGCGGGCUUCGGCCUGGCGGCGAGUGGCGAACGGGUGAGUAAUACAUCGGAACGUGCCCAGUAGUGGGGGAUAGCUCGGCGAAAGCCGGAUUAAUACCGCAUACGACCUGAGGGUGAAAGCGGGGGAUCUUCGGACCUCGCGCUAUUGGAGCGGCCGAUGGCAGAUUAGCUAGUUGGUGGGGUAAAGGCCUACCAAGGCGACGAUCUGUAGCCGGUCUGAGAGGACGACCAGCCACACUGGGACUGAGACACGGCCCAGACUCCUACGGGAGGCAGCAGUGGGGAAUUUUGGACAAUGGGCGAAAGCCUGAUCCAGCAAUGCCGCGUGUGUGAUGAAGGCCUUCGGGUUGUAAAGCACUUUUGGCGGGAACGAAAAGGACUGUGCCAAUACCACGGUUCGAUGACGGUACCCGCAGAAUAAGCACCGGCUAACUACGUG